UCUAAAAUGGCUGAGUAUAGGCACGAAGCUUUUAACUUUGGGACAGUAAAAUUUUACUUUUUAGAA
rnacentral:tRNA from 1 species